CUGACCAAAACAGUGAAACAACACCAACAGGAACCAGCACAACUCAGCUCCCUUUAACUAGCCAUGGAACAUCUACAACAAUGUCCUCGUCGAUAGAUCAACAAUCUUCAUCUGUGACGAUGAUAACACCCAUGGCAACAACAGAAUUUACAACCUCAACCCUUGCCACAAAUGGAAAAAAGACUACCAAGACUGAUCAACCGACAACAACAAUCAAUUCCCGCACAAAUACAGAGGUCUCACCAAGUUCACCCACUACAGUCCCUCCACUAACUACUCAUUUCACUCAAACAUCUUCUACUACUGUCACUGUGUCAACAUUAUCUACACCUCCUCAGUGUAAGGACUGUCAGUGUAUCGGGGGUACCUGUAAAUUCAACGUGACACUUGGAAGAUGUCACUGCCAAUGUCAAGAUUUUGUUUUUGGAGAUGUCUGCUCUUUUGGAAAGAACAACACCCCUGUUCAUAUUGAUACCGGAAAAAUUCCAACUCGAAAAGCAAAUUUUACUUUGGAAAUUCAAGUCACUUUUGAGCCGGCUUAUAAUAAUCUAAGCUCACCUCAAUCAUUAGAAUUCAUCGAGAAAUUAGAACGGGAGCUUGAAGGGCUAUGCAAAGAAGCAGAUCCAGAAACCUUUAAAAAAGUACAAGUCAUCAAGUUAU